rnacentral:rRNA from 1 species
GAUGAACGCUGACAGAAUGCUUAACACAUGCAAGUCAACUGUGGCGGACGGGUGAGUAACGCGUAAAGAACUUGCCUCACAGUUAGGGACAACAUUUGGAAACGAAUGCUAAUACCUGAUACUGUGAGAGAGCUUUGCGUCCCAUUAGCUAGCUGGUGCGGUAACGGCUCACCAAGGCGAGGAUGGGUGGCCGGCCUGCGAGGGUGAUCGGCCACAAGGGGACUGAGAGACGGGCAUUACUGCUACGAGAGGCAGCAAUGGGGAAUAAUGAGCAAUGGACCAAAGUGUGAUCCAGAUAUUCUGUGUGCACGAUGAAGUUUUCGGAAUGUAAAGUGCUUUCAGGUGAGAAGCGGUACCAACAGAGGAAGUGACGGCUAAAUACGUGCCAGCCGCCGCGGUAAUAC